rnacentral:rRNA from 1 species
AGUAUCAUUAAGUGAAUACAUAGCUUAAUGAGGGGAACUCAGGGAACUGAAACAUCUAAGUACCUGAAGGAAGAGAAAGAAAUUCGAUUCCGUAAGUAGCGGCGAGCGAACGCGGAUUAGCCCAAACCAAUAAAGUUUUCUUUAUUGGGGUUGCGGACAUAUCAUAACGAAGAGGUAUCGUAAUUGAAGAGGUUUGGAAAGACCCACCACAGAAGGUAAUAGUCCUGUAUGUUAAACGAGAAGUCUUUAGAUAUGAUCCAGAGUACCACGGGACACGUGAAACCCUGUGGGAAGCAGGAGGGACCACCCUCCAAGGCUAAAUACUACCUAGUGACCGAUAGCGUAUAGUACCGUGAGGGAAAGGUGAAAAGAACCCCGGGAGGGGAGUGAAAUAGAACCUGAAACCCUGCACUUACAAGCUGUGGAAGCACAUUUCUUGUGUGACCGCGUACUUUUUGUAGAACGGGCCAACGAGUUACGUUAAGUAGCAAGGUUAAGCACUUAAGGUGUGGAGCCGUAGCGAAAGCGAGUUUUAACUGAGCGUUCAGUUACUUGACGUAGACCCGAAACCGGGCGACCUACCCAUGAGCAGGAUGAAGCGAAAGUAAAAUUUCGUGGAGGUCCGAACCCACGAGCGUUGAAAAGCUCGGGGAUGACUUGUGGGUAGCGGUGAAAUUCCAAUCGAGCCCGGAGAUAGCUGGUUCUCCCCGAAAUAGCUUUAGGGCUAGCCUCAAGGUGAGAGAUACGGAGGUAGAGCACUGAAUGUCCUAGGGGGUAUUGCACCUACCGAAGACUAUCAAACUCCGAAU